rnacentral:rRNA from 1 species
ACGCACGCUGGCGGCGUGCUUAACCCAUGCAAGUCGAACGGAAAGGCCCUGCUUUUGUGGGGUGCUCGAGUGGCGAACGGGUGAGUAACACGUGAGUAACCUGCCCUUGACUUUGGGAUAACUUCAUGAAACUGGGGCUAAUACCGGAUAGGAGCUCCUGCCGCAUGGUGGGGGUUGGAAAGUUUCGGCGGUUGGGGAUGGACUCGCGGCUUAUCAGCUUGUUGGUGGGGUAGUGGCUUACCAAGGCUUUGACGGGUAGCCGGCCUGAGAGGGUGACCGGCCACAUUGGGACUGAGAUACGGCCCAGACUCCUACGGGAGGCAGCAGUGGGGAAUAUUGCACAAUGGGCGGAAGCCUGAUGCAGCAACGCCGCGUGCGGGAUGACGGCCUUCGGGUUGUAAACCGCUUUCGCCUGUGACGAAGCGUGAGUGACGGUAAUGGGUAAAGAAGCACCGGCUAACUACGUG